CAGGGAGACAACAAAAUGUUUAAUAUUAUUAUUUUGUCACCUUAGGUCGAUCGGUAUCUCACGUUUUUAAUUUAUUAAGAAUUUCAUUUCCUAAGUUUUUCUAGGUCACACCCAUAUUUUUCCUGGGCCAUUAGCUCAGGUGGUUAGAGCGCACCCCUGAUAAGGGUGAGGUCCCUGGUUCAAGUCCAGGAUGGCCCAUAUCUCUAUGUUGGGGGUAUAGCUCAGUUGGUAGAGCGCCUGCUUUGCAAGCAGGAUGUCAGCGGUUCGAGUCCGCUUACCUCCACUGAUUACCACCUCUUCCAUAACCGGUAGAAAGGAAAUUUUUGAGUUGUGACCAAAUUCUGAAAGAAUCUAGCUUCCUAAUGAAAUCAUUAAGAUGCUGGACUCAUUGAAUUUAAUUUCAUUGUUUUCAGAGAACCUUGACAACUGCAUAGAUUAUUUUUAAAGACAAUAAGCAUCUUUAAUGAUGCAGAUUUAUUAUUUGUGCGAAUGCAUUAAUAACAAUUCUAUUAAGCUGAUGCUUCAAUUUUGAAGUUAUU
rnacentral:tRNA from 1 species